ACGGGUGAGUAACGCGUGAGCAACCUGCCAUACAGUGGGGGAUAACACAGGGAAACUUGUGCUAAUACCGCAUGACACAUCGGGACCGCAUGAUCCUGAUGUCAAAGAUUCAUUGCUGUAUGAUGGGCUCGCGUAUGAUUAGACAGUUGGCAGGGUAACGGCCUACCAAAUCAACGAUCAUUAGCCGAACUGAGAGGUUGAACGGCCACAUUGGAACUGAGAAACGGUCCAGACUCCUACGGGAGGCAGCAGUGGGGAAUAUUGGGCAAUGGGCGAAAGCCUGACCCAGCGACGCCGCGUGAGGGAAGAAGGUCUUCGGAUUGUAAACCUCUUUCAGCAGGGAAGAAGGAAGUGACGGUACCUGCAGAAGAAGUCACGGCUAACUACGUGCCAGCAGCCGCGGUAAUACGUAGGUGGCGAGCGUUAUCCGGAAUUACUGGGUGUAAAGGGUGUGUAGGCGGGAUUGCAAGUCAGGCGUGAAAUCAUAGGGCUCAACCCUGUGACUGCGCUUGAAACUGUAAUUCUUGAGAGUGGGAGAGGUAAACGGAAUUCCUGGUGUAGUAGUGAAAUGCGUAGAUAUCAGGAGGAACACCGGUGGCGAAGGCGGUUUACUGGACCACAACUGACGCUGAGACACGAAAGCGUGGGGAGCAAACAGGAUUAGAUACUCUGGUAGUCCACGCCGUAAACGAUGAUGGCUAACCGCUGGUUCAUCCGGAUCAGUGGCCAAGCGAAAGCGAUAAGCCAUCCACCUGGGGAGUACGACCGCAAGGUUGAAACUCAAAUGAAUUGACGG
rnacentral:rRNA from 1 species